GCGACUGCCCGGGAGUGGCGCUUGCCGCGGUCCGGGCUUGCACCCCGCUGGGCAAAGUACCCGGGGCUGUCACACGGCGAGCUGAGCCCUGGGCCGGCGGGUGAGGUUCCCCAAGCGGCGAUGCCCCUGGCUCCCUGUUCCGCCAUUGCGAGCCGUUAGGGCCAAGCUGGAGGGAGGGCGGCGAGGCGCGGCUGCCGAUUGGAGGAAAAAAAAGUGGAAGCCCUGGGACCCACCAUCAUGAACAAUCGGGGAGAAGACAAGAGGCCAGCAAAGGAAUGAACACAGGGACGCAUGAGACAUUUGGUGCCGAAGACCUGGGUCAGCGGGACUCCUUUGGGAGACCAGUCCCCCAUCCUCACCCUCACUCUGUGAAGAGAUCCACCUACGACCUUGGGUCCUCAGACCAACCAGCCUAAGGAACAUCUCACCUAUUUUAAAUCGGACAGGAAUGUCAGGCCUCUGAACCCAAGCUAAGCCAUCAUAUCCCCUGUGACCUGCAUUUAUACAUCCAGAUGGCCUGAAGCAAAUGAAGAUCCACAAAAGAAGUAAAAAUAGCCUUAACUGAUGACAUUCCACCAUUGUCAUCUGCCCUACCCUAACUGAGAAGAUAUAUUCUCCCCCGCCCUUAAGAAGGUACUUUGUAUGCCUAUCCCAAACCUAUAAGAACUAAUGAUAAUCCCAGCGCCCUUUGAUGACUCUUUUUUCUGACUCAGCCCACCUGUACCCAGGUGAAAUAAACAGCCUUGUUGCUC
rnacentral:lncRNA from 1 species